rnacentral:lncRNA from 1 species
AACGUCUUGUCUGGAUAGUAAUGACAGGGUUGCCAUUGUCUUGAGAGCCAACAGGGGAAUCAACCUCUAGGACCUCAGCACCCAACAUGCUAAAGUUUUUUGCACUGAGGUGUCCCCUACUCCCUGUUUGCAGUGAGGUAUCCCUAGCAUCUUCAUUGUGUGUGUACCUGUGAGUCCAGUGAUCCUGUGCCUUACUCUCUCCAGGGAAGAAAUCUUCAGCAUUCUGCGGUCCUGGAGGAGUGGCAGUAACUCAGCAGCAUCAAAGCCACCCGGUGUUCAGCAAACAAAGAAGCCUCCAGGUACCAGAAUCUACCCUUCUUAGAAGGCAGCAG